UAGGGAAUCUUCCGCAAUGGGCGAAAGCCUGACGGAGCAACGCCGCGUGAGUGAUGAAGGUCUUCGGAUCGUAAAACUCUGUUAUUAGGGAAGAACAAAUGUGUAAGUAACUAUGCACGUCUUGACGGUACCUAAUCAGAAAGCCACGUCUAACUACGUGCCAGCAGCCGCGGUAAUACGUAGGUGGCAAGCGUUAUCCGGAAUUAUUGGGCGUAAAGCGCGCGUAGGCGGUUUUUUAAGGCUGAUGUGAAAGCCCACGGCUCAACCGUGGAGGGUCAUUGGAAACUGGAAAACUUGAGUGCAGAAGAGGAAAGUGGAAUUCCAUGUGUAGCGGUGAAAUGCGCAGAGAUAUGGAGGAACACCAGUGGCGAAGGCGACUUUCUGGUCUGUAACUGACGCUGAUGUGCGAAAGCGUGGGGAUCAAACAGG
rnacentral:rRNA from 1 species